CCUACGGGAGGCAGCAGUGGGGAAUAUUGGGCAAUGGAGGAAACUCUGACCCAGCGACGCCGCGUGAGGGAUGAAGGCCUUCGGGUUGUAAACCUCUUUCAGUAGGGAAGAAGCGAAAGUGACGGUACCUACAGAAGAAGCACCGGCUAACUAUGUGCCAGCAGCCGCGGUAAUACAUAGGGUGCAAGCGUUGUCCGGAAUUAUUGGGCGUAAAGAGCUCGUAGGUGGUUCGAUACGUCGGAUGUGAAAAUCAGGGGCUCAACCCCUGACCUGCAUCCGAUACGGUCGAGCUAGAGUUUGGUAGGGGAGACUGGAAUUCCUGGUGUAGCGGUGGAAUGCGCAGAUAUCAGGAGGAACACCGAUGGCGAAGGCAGGUCUCUGGGCCAAUACUGACACUGAGGAGCGAAAGCGUGGGGAGCGAACAGGAUUAGAUACCCUGGUAGUCCACGCCGUAAACGGUGGGCGCUAGUUGUGCGAACCUUCCACGGUUUGUGCGACGCAGCUACGCAUAAGCGCCCGCCGUCGGGAGGUACGAGCGCGAAGAAUUAAACUAACAAAGGAAGUUAGACGGCGUGAGACGNGCCGAACGGACGACCGACCGAGGGAGGUAGG
rnacentral:rRNA from 1 species